AACUGGCCUCUAAUGUGAG
rnacentral:rRNA from 1 species